rnacentral:rRNA from 1 species
UGGGGAAUUUUGGACAAUGGGCGCAAGCCUGAUCCAGCAAUGCCGCGUGCAGGAUGAAGGCCUUCGGGUUGUAAACUGCUUUUGUACGGAGCGAAAAGGUCUGCCCUAAUACGGUGGGCUCAUGACGGUACCGUAAGAAUAAGCACCGGCUAACUACGUGCCAGCAGCCGCGGUAAUACGUAGGGUGCGAGCGUUAAUCGGAAUUACUGGGCGUAAAGCGUGCGCAGGCGGUUAUAUAAGACAGAGGUGAAAUCCCCGGGCUCAACCUGGGAACUGCCUUUGUGACUGCAUAGCUAGAGUACGGUAGGGGGAGAUGGAAUUCCGCGUGUAGCAGUGAAAUGCAUAGAUAUGCGGAGGAACACCGAUGGCGAAGGCAAUCCCCUGGACCUGUACUGACGCUCAUGCACGAAAGCGUGGGGAGCAAACA